CUACUUGACAAUUUGCUCAUGUGCUCAUAGCCAAUGCGUGCUAGUGAUGGGAAGAACUAUUCUUUUCAGUGUAUCGAUUCCCAACGCUUCAAUUGCUGGGAUGAGUCGAUUCUGCUCUAACGAUUCUUCCAUUCCCCCACACAAAUAAAUCAAGAGGUUUUUUUUUUAUUUAUUGGGUCCCUUCAUCAAAAUUUCCCACCAUGCUUCAAAUUAAUUGUCGAUUCUAAUAUUCAAUUGCCGCAAAGAAAAAUGUCUCAUAGCUUGAGUCUUAAUGAACUGGGCAGAACCUGGAAUUGGAACACUGAAACAAGAUGUUGCCGUUCUCGACGAUACGGCCGUGCCUCAGCGAACGGGAAAAAAUAGCGAAUGAAGAAAAGGAAUAGACCUAAAGAGGGAUUUACAAAUGGUCUCUGCUGGCAGUCAGG